rnacentral:rRNA from 1 species
AGGGUUUGAUCCUGGCUCAGAGUGAACGCUGGCGGCGUGGAUUAGGCAUGCAAGUCGAGCGAUCCUUGCUUGAAUCUCAUUGAAGUGCUUGCACGGAUGUGAGUGGAUGGCGCUGGAUAGCGGCAAACGGGUGAGUAACACGUGGGUAACGUGCCUUGAGAAGGGAGAUAGCUUCGAGAAAUCGGAGGUAAUAUCCCAUGUGUCCCGAAAUCUGAAAUGAUUCGGGAGAAAGGCGGCCUCUGCUUGCAAGCUGUCAUCUUAAGAGCGACCCGCGUCCUAUCAGGUUGUUGGUGGGGUAAUGGCCUACCAAGCCUAAGACGGGUAGCUGGCCUAAGAGGGUGGUCAGCCACAUCGGGACUGAGACACUGCCCGGACUCCUACGGGAGGCUGCAGUCGAGAAUAUUUCACAAUGGACGAAAGUCUGAUGAUGCGACGCCGCGUGGGGGAUGAAGGUUUUCGGAUUGUAAACCCCUUUUAUUGAGGAGAAAAGAACACCUUUUGAAUAAGAAGGUGAAGUUGACUGUACUCGAUGAAUAAGCCACGGCUAACUCCGUGCCAGCAGCCGCGGUAAUACGGAGGUGGCAAGCGUUACUCGGUUUGACUGGGUGUAAAGGGUCCGUAGGCGGCCAAAUAAGUGAAAGGUGAAAGCCUUCGGCUCAACCGGAGAAUGGCCUUUUAAACUGUUUGGCUUGAGGCUGGAAGAGGAAAGUGGAACUGCUAGUGUAAGGGUGAAAUCUGUGGAUAUUAGCAGGAAUGCCUGUGGGGUAGCCGGCUUUCCAGUCCAGACCUGACGCUCAGGGACGAAAGCUAGGGGAGCGAACAGGAUUAGAUACCCUGGUAGUCUUAGCUGUAAACGAUGGGCACUAGGUGUUUGUCCGUAAGGAUGGGUGCCGAAGCUAACGCGUUAAGUGCCCCACCUGGGGACUACGGCCGCAAGGCUAAAACUCAAAGGAAUUGACGGGGACCCGCACAAGCGGUGGAACACGUGGUUUAAUUCGAUGCUACGCGAGGAACCUUACCAGGGUUUGACAUGCUGGAAGUAGUGCCCCGAAAGGGGUUACGACCGGUAACCAGUCCGGUACCAGUGCAGGUGCUGCAUGGUUGUCGUCAGCUCGUGCCGUGAGGUGUUCCCUUAAGUGGGAGAACGAGCGCAACCCUCGCCCUUUGUUGCUAUCUCGAGGUAAACUCGAGAGCACUCUAAGGGGACUGCCCGCGUUAAGUGGGAGGAAGGUGAGGACGACGUCAAAUCAGCAUGGCCCUUAUGUCCUGGGCUACACACGUGUUACAAUGCCUGCUACAAAGGGAAGCGAAUCCGUAAGGUGGAGCAAAUCUCAGAAAAGCAGGCCCAGUUCGGAUUGAGGGCUGCAACUCGCCCUCAUGAAGCUGGAAUCGCUAGUAAUGGCGCAUCAGCUACGGCGCCGUGAAUACGUUCCCGGGUCUUGUACACACCGCCCGUCAAGCGCUGAAAAUGGGGGGCACCCGAAGUUCCGAUUAAUUCGGAAUCACGGUGAAUUUCGUGAUUGGCGCUAAGUCGAAACAAGGUA